CCCUUAGAUGUUCUGGGCAGCACGCGCGCUGCAAUGGUCUUCGCAAACGGAUGCAUUCUCGAAGGAGAAUGCCAAUCUUGGAAUCUAUGCCUUGGUCGGGACAGUUGCUUGCAAUUUUUCGACUCGAACCAGGAAUUCCUUGUAAUCGUGAUUCAUCACAUCACGAUGAAUACGUCCCUGCCCUUUGUACACACCGCCCGUCGCUCCUACCGAUCGAAGAGUUAGGUGAAUUGUUUUGAUCGAUAAGAUUUGACUAUGGUCAACUCUCGUUGUGAAAUUCUGUGAAUCUGACUGUUUAGAGGAAGGAAAAGUCGUAACA
rnacentral:rRNA from 1 species